GAUCUUAAGGCACAAUGGAUAAGGCGUGAGUCUACAAAAUUCAAGAUUCCAGGUUCAAUCACUGGCAAGAUCG